rnacentral:lncRNA from 1 species
GGCUUCCUCUGUGUCCUGUUACACAGUUGAUUUGUGUAAAGGUUUCAUAGGUGCUGUAAAAGAAGUGUAUUCUCUCUUAAAGAUGAUAGAUACAUGAUAGACAGGUAGAUAGACUCAAGUUCUUAAGUUUGUUAUUUAAAUCUUCUUUAUAUUUGGGAUUUUAAAAAAUCUGAGCAAAAGUUGGCCAUACGGACUUAAAAUCUCCUAAUCCAGAGUCCAGUGAGUGUCAGUGAAGCAAGAUAAGAUGACCUGAGUGAUGGGGAAGGAAUUUUUUUUUUUACCCGCUGUAUCCAAUUUGAGGGUACUAUGAUGAUAACUUAUCCUUAGAGAGACAUGUAUUUUUUUUUACAGCUGUUGUAAGAAGAGUGGAAGUGAGGAAUGAAGGAAGGGAAUAAAUGAGGUUUGGCUGACUGCCUCCUUGCAGUGGAGGGGGAAUUAAAGAACGCUGCUCCAACUUGGGCCCUGUGGACGCCUUACAGCCUGGAGAAAGGGCAGACUGUCAUCCGAGCUCGGCCUGUCCUGCUGUCUGCUCUCUCCAGAGAGCAUCCUUCAUCCUGAUAAACGGGCUGUGAGCUGAGCACGUGACUGAGCUCCUUAAGCAGGUAUCUAAUCAAACUUUCUUUGCUGGGUGCUGAGAG